rnacentral:rRNA from 1 species
UGCCGCGAUGAGUGAAGAAGGCCCUUGGGUUGUAAAGCUCUUUCGUCGGGGAAGAAAAUGACUGUACCCGAAUAAGAAGGUCCGGCUAACUUCGUGCCAGCAGCCGCGGUAAUACGAAGGGACCUAGCGUAGUUCGGAAUUACUGGGCUUAAAGAGUUCGUAGGUGGUUGAAAAAGUUAGUGGUGAAAUCCCAGAGCUUAACUCUGGAACUGCCAUUAAAACUUUUCAGCUAGAGUAUGAUAGAGGAAAGCAGAAUUUCUAGUGUAGAGGUGAAAUUCGUAGAUAUUAGAAAGAAUACCAAUUGCGAAGGCAGCUUUCUGGAUCAUUACUGACACUGAGGAACGAAAGCAUGGGUAGCGAAGAGGAUUAGAUACCCUCGUAGUCCAUGCCGUAAACGAUGUGUGUUAGACGUUGGAAAUUUAUUUUCAGUGUCGCAGCGAAAGCGAUAAACACACCGCCUGGGGAGUACGACCGCAAGGUUAAAACUCAAAUGAAUUGACGGGGACCCGCACAAGUAGUGGAGCAUGUGGUUUAAUUCGAAGAUACGCGCAGAACCUUACCAACACUUGACAUGUUCGUCGCGACUCUAAGAGAUUAGAGUUUUCGGUUCGGCCGGACGAAACACAGGUGCUGCAUGGCUGUCGUCAGCUCGUGUCGUGAGAUGUUGGGUUAAGUCCCGCAACGAGCGCAACCCUCACUUUUAGUUGCCAUCAUUAAGUUGGGCACUCUGG